AUUUAAAGAACCGCUAUGCCGGUUGUCAGCGCUCAUUUGCGAGUACGCUCAUCAAACUUCACUCAUUCAAUUGAAUACUCUGGUGACUGACCUGGGAGCGCUGAGACGCCGUUCCUCCUGGAGGUUAUUCGUUCGGCUCGCAGCCAGGAUUACUUUUUAUCAGAGGACAUUGGUCUGUCAUCAUUUCAUCACUUCAUUACUUGAUCGUGCUCACGGACUAUACAAACACCCGGACACUUCAAUGGUUACUUGCUGGGGGACAGAGGGUACCCUUGUCUGCCCUAUAUGAUGACACCCUACCCUGAACCUGAGCCUGGACCACAGGCACAAUUCAACCUGGCCCACAGCAGAACAUGGGUCAAGGUGGAAAUGACCAUAGGCAUCCUGAAGGCAAGGUUUCUGUGCCUGCGUGGGCUCAGGGUCAGCCCAGAAAGGUCAUGUGACCUCAUAGCUGCUUGUGCUGUUCUUCACAACAUUGCCACACUGAGAGGUGAGAGGGCCCCCCCUUCUCUUGAUGAAGAUGGCCAAGAGGAACCCCCAGUGAACCCAGUAGACCAAAGAGAUGGCAGGGUAGUACGAGACAUGAUUUGCCAAAAUCACUUUAAUUAAAACCAGUUAAC